UACGUGGGGUGCAAGCGUUAAUCGGAAUUACUGGGCGUAAAGCGUGCGCAGGCGGUUUUGUAAGUCAGAUGUGAAAUCCCCGGGCUUAACCUGGGAACUGCGUUUGAAACUACAAGGCUAGAGUGUGGCAGAGGGGGGUGGAAUUCCACGUGUAGCAGUGAAAUGCGUAGAGAUGUGGAGGAACACCGAUGGCGAAGGCAGCCCCCUGGGUUAACACUGACGCUCAGGCACGAAAGCGUGGGGAGCAAACAGG
rnacentral:rRNA from 1 species